rnacentral:rRNA from 1 species
CCUACGGGGGGGGCWGCAGUAGGGAAUCUUCCGCAAUGGACGAAAGUCUGACGGAGCAACGCCGCGUGAGUGAUGAAGGUUUUCGGAUCGUAAAGCUCUGUUGUUAGGGAAGAACAAGUGCAAGAGUAACUGCUUGCACCUUGACGGUACCUAACCAGAAAGCCACGGCUAACUACGUGCCAGCAGCCGCGGUAAUACGUAGGUGGCAAGCGUUGUCCGGAAUUAUUGGGCGUAAAGGGCUCGCAGGCGGUUUCUUAAGUCUGAUGUGAAAGCCCCCGGCUCAACCGGGGAGGGUCAUUGGAAACUGGGAAACUUGAGUGCAGAAGAGGAGAGUGGAAUUCCACGUGUAGCGGUGAAAUGCGUAGAGAUGUGGAGGAACACCAGUGGCGAAGGCGACUCUCUGGUCUGUAACUGACGCUGAGGAGCGAAAGCGUGGGGAGCGAACAGGAUUAGAUACCCCKGGUAGUCA